UACGUAGGGUGCAAGCGUUAAUCGGAAUUACUGGGCGUAAAGCGUACGCAGGCGGCUAUGUAAGACAGGUGUGAAAUCCCCGGGCCUAACCUGGGAACUGCAUUUGUGACUGCAUAGCUAGAGUCCGUCAGAGGGGGAUGGAAUUCCACGUGUAGCAGUGAAAUGCGUAGAGAUGUGGAGGAACACCGAUGGCGAAGGCAGCCCCCUGGGAUGAGACUGACGCUCAUGUACGAAAGCGUGGGGAGCAAACAGG
rnacentral:rRNA from 1 species